GCUCUGGUAGCCCAAUGGCAGAGGCAGCGGUCUCAGAAACCGUCCAGUGCUGGUUCAAGUCCAGCUCAGAGCA
rnacentral:tRNA from 1 species